rnacentral:rRNA from 1 species
UACAGAGGUCCCAAGCGUUGUUCGGAUUCACUGGGCGUAAAGGGUGCGUAGGUGGCAGGGUAAGUCGGAUGUGAAAUCUCCGAGCUCAACUCGGAAAUGGCAUUGGAAACUACCCAGCUCGAGGGUUGGAGGGGGGACUGGAAUGCUUGGUGUAGCAGUGAAAUUCGUAGAUAUCGGGAGGAACACCGGUGGCGAAGGCGGCGACCUGGGUAGAUACUGACGCUGAGGCGCGAAAGCGUGGGGAGCAAACAGG